AGCUCCAAUAGCGUAUAUUAAAGUUGCUGCAGUUAAAAAGCUCGUAGUUGCAUUUCCGAGGCAAGGGAUUAGUCCGACCUUUGGUGGGUAUUUAAUCCUCUUGCCUCGUCCUUGAGUGGUGCUUCUUGGUAUUAAGUUAUCGAGGAGAUAGCCGCUCAUCGUUUACUGUGAGAAAAUUAGAGUGUUCAAAGCAGGCUUAUGCCGUUGAAUAUAUUAGCAUGGAAUAAUAAGAUAGGACCUCGGUACUAUUUUGUUGGUUUGAGAACCAAGGUAAUGAUGAAUAGGGACAGUUGGGGGUAUGCGUAUUCAGUUGUCAGAGGUGAAAUUCUUAGAUUUACGGAAGACGAACUACUGCGAAAGCAUUUACCAAGGAUGUUUGCA
rnacentral:rRNA from 1 species